UUCUCCUUAGGGAGCUGCUGUGAAGCAGGCAAGGACAGCAGGAAUUAAGACACUGACAGACUCUUGCGUUCACAAAAGAUGUAGUGGUUUUUGUGUUGCAUCGUAUAUACAUGUUAUCCAGAAAGGGCAGACUUAGAUCAUCGGUGCUUUCUUACUAAUGCCUGGAAUCAGAAGCUGUAUUGCAGAGCUGUGAAACUGCUUGGGAGAAGAGAAGGUUGCUUUGAAUUCUGGAUAUUCUCAGACAUUAUACAGAACAAACCUGUUAGAGCAUUUGUCUCCUGCCUCCAUUUGCUCUCGAUGAUGUAUGUGUAUGGUGGGAUUUUUUUGUUUCGUCUUUUGUUUUGGUUUGGUUUGGUUUUUAACCUCUAGCAUUUAAGGAUAUUUAAAGAAGAGACUGUAGUCUUCAGAAUACAGCAUUUGCUUUGCCUCUGAUGCAGAAGACUCUGCAGUGUUUGCUCUUCCGAAUGAAAUAAGUUGACGGAAAACCAGCUAUAUUACAGAGAAAGGUUUCACAGAUUCCAGGAACACAGAUUUCAUGCAUGUUGCCUACUUGCUUUGACUGAUAGAUACGAUAUUAGUCUCUUUGCUGCCAAUGUGUAUGUCUAUGUCAGGUGCCUGGGGAUGCAUGUAACUGUGUGCUGAGCCUGAAAUCUAAACAUCUUUAUUUGAUGUUACUUGCUUGUAAAGUGGCAUUUAAGGAUAAUUCUUAUACUGAGAACAAUAUUCUGCUUCUGAAAGCUUCUGAUUUUUGUUUGUAAAGAGGGUUGGAGGAGCUACAUUUAUAUAGCAACAAUGGUAUGUGGAUUAUAAAAGAAACUUAGCAGAAUUUUGUCAACAUACUCGUCAGUGUGGCUCUCUCUGGUUUAAAAGAGAAACUACCCCUCCAGCCAAGGAAAUGGCUUUUCUUGUUCGAUGUUACGCCAAUUGUCUUCAGCCAUGGGCCUCCAAAGUAAGUGAUUACUAUUUUUAUAUAGUUUAAUCAUUAAAUUUAAACUGCACUUGAAUUCUAAAUUAGUUCUAUUGUGCUAAUAACAACUAUAAAACAGUCUAUAAAUCCUUGUCUCAAUGUCAUGUGAUUUAGAGAAAGCCUCUGAGAUGGGUUGAACAGACUCAAUAGUCUGCAACUUGAAAUGUACAUAUGAAUGUACAUAUGAAAUGUACAUAUGAAAUGCACACCUUAGACACGCUCAUCACUGAGCUGUUGAUAUUUUUAAAAUUACUUGUGCCCAUGCUUAACUUGAGGCAUUCUGUUGUUUCUUUCCUUAAAGGGCUAGUAUGUUUAGACAUCGUGUUCAGAUCAUGGGCUUAUAGAAUGUAUCUUGGUAAUGUGAUGCUCCCUGAUAACUUAGAAAUGAAUUGUUCUAGUUUGUAAAAUUGGGUGUUCAUUCCUAAAGAAUAAUGUAAAAAAAAAAAGUGAAUGUAAAUUAAUUAUGUAAAAAUAUUCAGUGUUCCAAAGUAUUUCCAAAAUAGUAAUUGGUAAAAAAACUGCUUGUCAUUUUAAGGCAAACAUUAACUGUCAACAAAAUCCUGAGUUGUUGAAAACUAGUCUAUUGCAAUUUAGUUUUAUUUUUGACAGUAGCUUUUUACAGUGUUUGAAGGUAUCUUUUAGAUUUUAGAAAAUGCUUAGAUGAUGAAUUUUAAAUAUGUCAAAAUUUCUUUAUAGUUCUCUGAUACUUAGGCACACUGGAGACUUUUCAUAGGAAGGUCUGAAAUCGUGUCUUUGUUUCAAAGGUUCACUCUUGAUGGUGACUAAGGAGAAAAUACUUUGAUAGCACUGUGUUGUACUGUUUAUUUGGCCAAGCCCAUUGCAUAUCUUUCCUGAAUGUUCUAGUGGGAGGGAUAUUUAAAUGCACUGUCCAUUUGGCAAACAGCUGCCUGUGACAUAAAGAGAUGGAAAGGAGCCUUGGUACACAGUUUGUGCUUUUAUCUGCACAUACAAAGAGUGGCUGCUUCAGUGCAGACGCCACCUGUGGGCCCCCAGCACUGCUGACAGUAAUAGUCACACCACUAGAAUUGAAAACUGCACAUGGAAGGGAAUUGUAUAAGACCAGAUAAGACUGAACAAAAUUAAGAUGGGGUGCAGGAGGUUUUUUUUUUUUUUUAAAGGAAACACACACACACACAGUAACAGAAAAAAAUGAGAAGAAUUCUGUGAUGAGUGAUGAUUGCUUUCCUGUAUAAAUUAUGUAUAAGUAUACAUGUCUCCUUCCUGUCUCUCUCAUCUUUGUGUAUUACUAUUAAGAUUUAACUCUUUGUUUAAACACAUUAGACUAGAAACUAAUUUUAAUACUUGCUAUAUUGGAUUUUCAAAUUUGUUUUACUCCUUUAACUUUCAUUUAAUGAUUUUUUAUUACUUAGUUAUAUAUAAAAUAAGCUUGUUGUCUUUUCUCUAUAGCCCUUGAAGCUAAUACAUGAUCUGCUAUUCAUAUGAGAAGUUUGCACUUAGUGUUGUAUGUUUUGUUUUGUUUUUUUUAAAUAUCCAUGAAAUUCAUGAAGCUUCAAAAUGUUUUGUUUUCCUUCUUAGUACUCUGAAGACUUUUUAAGCCACAGAGCCUUGUUUGUCUUUACUUGAAAGAAGGAAAAAAAAAGUUCCAUUUUUGGCAUAGGAUCCUACUAUAUAGCCCUGCCUACUCUUGGGCUAGCAUUGUAGAGAUCUGCCUGCCUCUGCCUCCCAAGAACUGGGAUUCAAGGUGUGUACUACCACACCUAGUAGAACUUGUUUUUGACAAAAUUGUAGCACCUCUCACUUUUCUUCACCUGUAAUGUCCUUAAACAUUUAUUUCAGUUUGAUUUUUCUAACUCACUAAUUUAUUGUCUCUUUGUAACUAGUGCUAGACAUGUUUUAAAAUUUAAAUGUACCCAUUUGUGUUAUAUGUUUUUGAAGCCUCAUGAGUGAUGCUCACAAUUACUUGUUUUGGUAAUGGUUUUUAUUUUAUAGGCGUGAUUCUGCUCCCUGUAUAGAUUCUUGUCUCUGGGUCAUUGGUUUCCAGGGAUCGGCUUUACACAAGGGAUUUUUAGCUGGAUGCUCCUUUCACUAUUGGAUAGGACUGUUUGAUUGAGGUGUCAUCUCACUGUGAAGAAGCCAUUGUGCUUUGGCUUCUUUUUUCUACUUCCUGCUGUUCACAACAGCAAUGAAAAAAAAAUUUUUUUUUGUGAGCC
rnacentral:lncRNA from 1 species